GGAAGGAUCAUUCCAAUUUUUGUGUGAAAGCACAUCUCGCCGUUGAACGGUUGGGCUCGAAAGAGUUCAACGCCGUAUUUAAAUUGUUUAAACGAGAAAUUAUCCAACUGUAAGCAACGGAUACCUCGGCUAUCACAACGAUGAAGAACGCAGCAAAGCGCGAUAGGAAUUGCGAAUUGCAGAAUUCAGUGAAUCAUCGUACCUUUGAACGCAAUUGCGCUCUCGGGAAUUCCCUUGAGCAUGCCUCUUUGAGUAUCGGUAUCGAAUGCAGUUUUCGAAUUGCGAUCUGAGGGUUCACGGUAUCCCUUGAAGUACUAAUAGUGUUGCUGGUCAGCGAGUAGUUGCUGCGAUUGUUGCUGGGAAACUUGUACAAUUUCACUCCGUCUCAAAGCCCAAAGACACUACAGGUGCAAACACACCAUACACCAAACGGAUCUCAAAUGAGGUAAGAAGACCCCCUGGAUUUAAGCAUAUUAUUAAGGGGAGGAAAAGAAACUAACUAGGAUUCUCUGAGUAACUGCGAGUGAAACGGGAAGAGCUCAACCUGAGAAUCGCUGCUAGUCUCUAGUAGUGAAUUGUGGGUUCUGGAAGUAUUCUCAGCAAGUGGCCCCGCUUUAAGUCUGCUGGAAUGCAGCUGUCAUAGAGGGUGAGAACCCCGUCUUGGGGUGGGAGUCCGCUGCGUACGAGAUGCUUUCGCAGAGUCGGGUUGCUUGGGAGUGCAGCCUUAAACGGGAGGUGAAUUCCUUCCAAAGCUAAAUACAUGUGAUAGACCGAUAGCGCACAAGUACCGUAAGGGAAAGGUGAAAAGGACUUUGAAAAGAGAGUCAAAAGUACUUGAAAUUGCUUAUAGUCAACGGAUAGGAACUAUUGGAUCGGUUCGUUGCCUGUGCGGGAGGCGCGGGGUUGGGGCGUGGUUGGGUCUGCUGUCUCGUGCAGUGGUCUAGCUAUUCUCCACACUUCACACCAACUGUAAUUAACAACGAUAGAUGUCAAAAUGAGUUUUUCGCGUGGGAUACGAGCGGCUUGGAGGUAGAUGGUGAUCGCAAGUGAUCCUCGAAUACAAGCUGCAGAUACCAUGCAAGAGACUGAGGAUUGAUUUUGACGAAAUGGUUUUUAUUCACCCGUCUUGAAACACGGACCAAGGAGUGUAAGGUGUAUGCGAGUGUUAGAGUGUAAAACUCGGACGCGUAAUGAAAGUAAAGUCCGCAAGGAUGAGGUGUAAAUGCAGUGUCUACAUGGCGCAGCAGGCCGCACCGCCCGGCCUUUCCCUAGUGUUAGGUUCGAGGACGAGCAUAUACGUUACGACCCGAAAGAUGGUGAACUAUACCUGAGCAGGGUGAAGCCAGGGGAAACUCUGGUGGAGGCUCGUAGCGAUACUGACGUGCAAAUCGUUCGUCAGACUUGGGUAUAGGGGCGAAAGACUAAUCGAACCAUCUAGUAGCUGGUUCCCCC
rnacentral:misc_RNA from 1 species